rnacentral:rRNA from 1 species
GAUGAACGCUGGCGGCGUGCUUAACACAUGCAAGUCGAACGAUGAAGCCCAGCUUGCUGGGUGGAUUAGUGGCGAACGGGUGAGUAACACGUGAGUAACCUGCCCUUAACUCUGGGAUAAGCCUGGGAAACUGGGUCUAAUACCGGAUAGGAGCGUCCACCGCAUGGUGGGUGUUGGAAAGAUUUAUCGGUUUUGGAUGGACUCGCGGCCUAUCAGCUUGUUGGUGAGGUAAUGGCUCACCAAGGCGACGACGGGUAGCCGGCCUGAGAGGGUGACCGGCCACACUGGGACUGAGACACGGCCCAGACUCCUACGGGAGGCAGCAGUGGGGAAUAUUGCACAAUGGGCGCAAGCCUGAUGCAGCGACGCCGCGUGAGGGAUGACGGCCUUCGGGUUGUAAACCUCUUUCAGUAGGGAAGAAGCGAAAGUGACGGGACCUGCAGAAGAAGCACCGGCUAACUACG